UACGUAGGCAGCAAACGUUGUUCGGAGUUACUGGGCGUAAAGAGUACGUAGGCGGUUUACUAAGUCUGGUGUGAAAUCUCCCGGCUUAACCGGGAGGGUGCGCCGGAUACUGGCGAGCUAGAGUGUGGGAGAGGGAAGCGGAAUUCCUGGUGUAGCGGUGAAAUGCGUAGAUAUCAGGAGGAACACCGGUGGUGUAGACGGCUUCCUGGACCACUACUGACGCUGAGGUACGAAAGCGUGGGGAGCAAACAGG
rnacentral:rRNA from 1 species